UCCCUGGUAGUUCAGUGGUUAGGACUCAGUGCUUUCACUGCUGUGACCCAGGUGCGAUCCCUGUUCAAAGAA
rnacentral:tRNA from 1 species